CACAGACAACCAGGAUGUUGGCUUAGAAGCAGCCACUCAUUCAAAGAGUGCGUAAUAGCUCACUGGUCGAGUGAUCCUGCGCCGAAGAUUUCCGGGGCUAAAACUUACUACCGAAGCUACGGCAUCAGUAAUGAUGGGUAGGGGAGCUUCCCAUACGGGUUGAAGCAUGACCGUAAGGACAUGUGGACAGUAUGGGAGUGAGAAUGUUGGCAUGAGUAGCGAGAUGUGGGUGAGAAUCCCACAGGCCGUAAACCCAAGGUUUCCAGGGGAAGGUUCGUCCGCCCUGGGUUAGUCGGGACCUAAGCUGAGGCCGAAAGGCGUAGGUGAUGGACAACAGGUUGAUAUUCCUGUACUACCGAUAACCGUUUGAGAGAUGGGAUGACACAGUAGGAUAAGCUAAGCACACUGUUGGUUAUGGGUGCCCAAGCAUUGAGGCAGUCAAAGUAGGCAAAUCCGCUUUGAUAAUGCUGGGAUGUGAUGGGGAGCGAAAUUUAGUAGCGAAGUAGCUGAUUUCACACUGUCAAGAAAAAUCUCUAUCGAGGUUAAAGGUACCCGUACCGCAAACCGACACAGGUGGGUGAGGAGAGUAUCCUAAGGCCA
rnacentral:rRNA from 1 species